GUGAGGAAUAUUGGUCAAUGGACGCAAGUCUGAACCAGCUAUGCCGCGUGCAGGAAGAAGGUUCUAUGGAUCGUAAACUGCUUUUGUACAGGAAGAAAUUAUCCCUCGUGAGGGAGCUUGACGGUACUGUAAGAAUAAGGAUCGGCUAACUCCGUGCCAGCAGCCGCGGUAAUACGGAGGAUCCAAGCGUUAUCCGGAAUCAUUGGGUUUAAAGGGUUCGUAGGCGGUUUUGUAAGUCAGUGGUGAAAGUUUGCAGCUUAACUGUAAAAUUGCCAUUGAUACUGCAAGACUUGAAUGUUUGUGAAGUAGCUAGAAGAUGUAGUGUAGCGGUGAAAUGCUUAGAUAUUACAUGGAAUACCGAUUGCGAAGGCAGGUUACUAACAAAUUAUUGACGCUGAUGGACGAAAGCGUGGGGAGCGAACAGGAUUAGAUACCCGUGUAGUCC
rnacentral:rRNA from 1 species